GGAUUAUUAUUAUUUUUUUAUCUGCAAUAGUCUUGCAUUAAAGCCCAAAAAAAGGCAAAUAGCUACGAUAGUCUAGAUCCAUGAAAAUACAAUUAGGCCCACCCAAUAUCAAGCCCAUUAGCCAAACUCAAAUAACUGUCAGCCAACACCACACACAAACACCGAGUAACAGAAAUAGGCACAAGUCACCACUAAUGUUGGGGAGAAAAGAAAGGAUCACCGAAGACAAAAGCAAGAAUGACCCAAUAGACUUUGCAAGCUUCCAUAGAAGCCAACCAAAGCCCAUCGGGUAGCAAACAUAGCAGCACCAGUAACAUAUUCAACGGUAGCAACAGGUAAAGUUUGGACGCACAGAGGGAGAAGGAGCAAAGUCAUAGGGUUUUAAUCUUUUAUAGCCAUGAGGUGCUAGACUGCAAGCUUCUUAACUCAACUCACUGGGACCAAAGGAUUAAUCCUUCUUAAUUUGCACCCUCAAUACCACCAUGCGAAUCUGAAUCUCAUCUCAACGAAGAAAAUUGCGACCAACACAGAUAAAGUAGUUGCUCCCAAAUCGGAAGACUCCUGCACCACUUAAACAUAACAAACAUAGAUCCAAUAAGCAAUCUUCAAAUAAACAUAGAUCUGUAAAAAAAACGGAGAAAAACAAAAAACUCUCACUCAAAUCCAAGCUCCUCCACUAAAAAAAAUAAAACUAUACAGUCCCACCUGAUAUUGGAAGGGAUGACCACAUCCGGUUAGGGGAAGCUGAGGGCGAGCUUUCCUAUCCAGAGGGGCAAGAAAAAGCUGCCCUAACAGCGAAAACUCACGAGACUCUCAAUCCAACUAAGAAAAAAGGGGAUUGAUCGCUUGUGGGUAUGCUCCCCGAACAAAUUAGUUUCUUAUUCCCUACUUUAUGUUUUAGAAUCAGCCUUGCAGGAUAAAAAAUGCAACCAAGAUAUCCUUUCACUCGAUUGCUUUUGCUCUGUCGUGGGCAAACUUUUGAAAACUUAUAUAUGAAUUGACAUUUUUAUUAAUUGUCAAUACAUUAUGAUUAGAGGGGUCAU
rnacentral:misc_RNA from 1 species